GAUGAACGCUGGCGGCGUGCCUAAUACAUGCAAGUCGAGCGAACGGACGAGAAGCUUGCUUCUCUGAUGUUAGCGGCGGACGGGUGAGUAACACGUGGAUAACCUACCUAUAAGACUGGGAUAACUUCGGGAAACCGGAGCUAGUACCGGAUAAUAUUUUGAACCGCAUGGUUCAAAAGUGAAAGACGGUCUUGCUGUCACUUAUAGAUGGAUCCGCGCUGCAUUAGCUAGUUGGUAAGGUAACGGCUUACCAAGGCAACGAUGCAUAGCCGACCUGAGAGGGUUAUCGGCCACACUGGAACUGAGACACGGUCCAGACUCCUACGGGAGGCAGCAGUAGGGAAUCUUCCGCAAUGGGCGAAAGCCUGACGGAGCAACGCCGCGUGAGUGAUGAAGGUCUUCGGAUCGUAAAACUCUGUUAUUAGGGAAGAACAUAUGUGUAAGUAACUGUGCACAUCUUGACGGUACCUAAUCAGAAAGCCACGGCUAACUACGUG
rnacentral:rRNA from 1 species